rnacentral:rRNA from 1 species
GACAGCAGCAGCCACGGGAACACGUAGGUGGCUAGCGUUGUUCGGAAUCACUGGGCGUAAAGCGCACGUAGGCGGCUAUUCAAGUCAGGGGUGAAAGCCCGGGGCUCAACCCCGGAACUGCCUUUGAAACUAGAUAGCUUGAAUCUUGGAGAGGCGAGUGGGAUUCCGAGUGUAGAGGUGAAAUUCGUAGAUAUUCGGAAGAACACCAGUGGCGAAGGCGACUCGCUGGACAAGUAUUGACGCUGAGGUGCGAAAGCGUGGGGAGCAAAUGGGAUUAGAUACCCCCGUAGUCCCUGUCUCUUAUAC